rnacentral:rRNA from 2 species
UACGUAGGAUCCAAGCGUUAUCCGGAGUGACUGGGCGUAAAGAGUUGCGUAGGUGGUCGGUAAAGCGAAUAGUGAAACCCGGUGGCUCAACCAUUCGGACUAUUAUUCGAACUCACCGACUCGAGAGUAGCAGAGGUAACUGGAAUUUCUAGUGUAGGGGUAAUAUCCGUAGAUACUAGAAGGAACACCAAUGGCGUAGGCAGGUUACUGGGCUAUUUCUGACACUGAGGCACGAAAGCGUGGGGAGCGAACCGG